rnacentral:rRNA from 1 species
UACGUAGGGUGCGAGCGUUGUCCGGAAUUACUGGGCGUAAAGAGCUCGUAGGUGGUUUGUCGCGUUGUUCGUGAAAACUCACAGCUCAACUGUGGGCGUGCGGGCGAUACGGGCAGACUGGAGUACUGCAGGGGAGACUGGAAUUCCUGGUGUAGCGGUGGAAUGCGCAGAUAUCAGGAGGAACACCGGUGGCGAAGGCGGGUCUCUGGGCAGUAACUGACGCUGAGGAGCGAAAGCGUGGGGAGCAAACAGG